UUUCAUAAAUUUUUCUUGGUAAAGCUUGUUGAACCCAAAAUUUGCUGAGAGUUACAUGGUAAAUUGUAUUUGACUAUUUUGGCUUUAUUUAGCUCUUUGGUUUGACACUUUAGCUUAUCGAUUUUUUUUAAAAAAAUUUAGUCAUUAAUAGUAUGUCGGCUCAUCAAAAGUGGUUUGCUAACGCAUUUUACAUUCAGAUGUUCUGGGAUGAGGAUUUAUAGAUUGAGAACUUUAAUGGGUCAAUAUUGAUAUUUUUAUGUAUUAUAUGUUUUUUAUAAUUAGUAUGUUCUGCUGGUUUAUAUAUGUGCACAGAGAAUGAGAGUGGUGAGUUUGAUUAUGUGGAUGUGAGUGAGAAAGGACCACCACACUAGAGAGAGUUAAAGGAAGAAUGGAGGAUGAGAACUGUCUUUACCACAAAUAAAGACUAUGGAAAAGAAGAGAGAGAAGCACAAUGGGCUGCAACGCAGAGGACACUCCAUGGUCUUCAACCACCGGAAUCCACCCGAAAAAAGUAGUUACAGGGAGCUUUCAUAGAUUGCAGAACAAGCCAAGCGCCGGGCUGAGGUGGCAAGGCUUAGGGAGUUGCAUACACUCAAGGGUCAUGUUGAGUCAGUGGUGAAGCUGAAAGGUACCUUUCCUAGCACACUCUCACUCUCACCAGUCCCAUUUAUUGAGAGAAAUUUUCAAGACUAAUGCAUGUUCAACUUACGGGACUGCAUGACAAAACCCAUACAUUUAAGGUAAGUUCACGGUAGAAGGUAACAAGUAGCACCUUAGGAAUAUGUGAGACUGUUGAAACAAGUUUGCUUUAACAGCAUAGGGCAAAGGAAGUAGUACAAAUUCUUACUUUGUAAAGACUAUUGGUAACGAGGGUGAGUACAAUGACAAGAAGAAGAAAUAUAUGUUGUAUGACAAUGAAUUUAGUAUCUUAUUUUAUUUGUAAUUUUUAUUAGAGUAAAUGAUUCUUUUUUGAGUGUUUAAUUAUUUACUUUGUAAAUCUAGUUAUAUAUUUUUUAAAGCCAA